CCACGAAGCCCUUACUUGCUGGAUUUGGUGGAGAGCUCGAGCGUGGACGAUUUCUGGACUCGGAGCUGUGCGUUUGAUCCAGCAAGUUGCUCUACACCAGAGGGAGUCCUUCGCUGCCAGAGAUUAGCGUUUGAGGUGGGUUACAUCGGCUUUACUCCUAAGUUCUUAUUGGUCGACAUGUAUAGAUCUUGAUUUCGGUAAUUAAUUUUAGCUCAAAUUCAUGGAUUAUAUGUAGAUUGUGAAAUCUGAAUCUUGGAGCAUGUUUUUUU